AACGAACGCUGGCGGCAGGCCUAACACAUGCAAGUCGAGCGCCCCGCAAGGGGAGCGGCGGACGGGUGAGUAACGCGUGGGAACGUGCCUCUUGCUACGGAAUAGCCUCGGGAAACUGGGAGUAAUACCGUAUGUGCCCUACGGGGGAAAGAUUUAUCGGCAAGAGAUCGGCCCGCGUUGGAUUAGGUAGUUGGUGGGGUAAUGGCCUACCAAGCCGACGAUCCAUAGCUGGUUUGAGAGGAUGAUCAGCCACACUGGGACUGAGACACGGCCUAGACUCCUACGGGAGGCAGCAGUGGGGAAUCUUAGACAAUGGGCGCAAGCCUGAUCUAGCCAUGCCGCGUGAGCGAUGAAGGCCUUAGGGUUGUAAAGCUCUUUCAGUGGGGAAGAUAAUGACUGUACCCACAGAAGAAGCCCCGGCUAACUCCGUGCCAGCAGCCGCGGUAAAGUACAGUGU
rnacentral:rRNA from 1 species